rnacentral:rRNA from 1 species
AGUGAACGCUGGCGGUAGGCCUAACACAUGCAAGUCGAACGGUAGCACAGGAGAGCUUGCUCUCUGGGUGGCGAGUGGCGGACGGGUGAGGAAUACAUCGGAAUCUACUCUGUCGUGGGGGAUAACGUAGGGAAACUUACGCUAAUACCGCAUACGACCUACGGGUGAAAGCAGGGGAUCUUCGGACCUUGCGCGAUUGAAUGAGCCGAUGUCGGAUUAGCUAGUUGGCGGGGUAAAGGCCCACCAAGGCGACGAUCCGUAGCUGGUCUGAGAGGAGGAUCAGCCACACUGGAACUGAGACACGGUCCAGACUCCUACGUGAGGCAGCAGUGGGGAAUAUUGGACAAUGGGCGCAAGCCUGAUCCAGCCAUACCGCGUGGGUGAAGAAGGCCUUCGGGUUGUAAAGCCCUUUUGUUGGGAAAAAAAUCCAGCUGGCUAAUACCCGGUUGGGAUGACGGUACCCAAAGAAUAAGCACCGGCUAACUUCGUGCCAGCAGCCGCCGUAA